GCAGACAGCUAAUCUUCAACUAUAUCAUAUUCACCAGUAAAUUGCUCUUUGCAACCCUUCUGUGAUACUCGGGCCAUUAAGAACCAAAAUGGCCCAAGCAAACAGUUUUGAUCUGAUCAAUCAUGACCUCAAGGCAUAUAAAGGAGAAAACUUGUGCAUCUUCUACACUCCAUCUUCGCUUCUGAUAAUCUCAUUUGUUUUGCAGACAAAAACAAUAAUCACCAAUGCUACUAAGUUCACCACCAAAUAUAUAUUUACCAAGUAUCAUUCCCACAGUAUAAAGAUCAUGGUCAAACAAAAGGCACAAGCCUAGAGUGAAGGGGAAAAAAAAAAGGUUCUUGCCCGUGAACUUAAUAGGACCUCACUCAAUAACAAUGCCACUUAAAAACAACAUAUGAAAUGUGCAGUUAGCAGAAGUUCAGGACAAUAAGACUACCUCAGUUUUGAACCCUACACCCCUCCAAGAAAUUCCAAGGCAAAAAGAAAACAAACAACACUAGAGAAUAUAAGCCUAAACGGGAU
rnacentral:misc_RNA from 1 species